AAACAACCGGCAGGGAGGAGAAGUGAGCGGCCAAACUCCCAUGUUUUGAACGUGAAAGCCGUCAUUUUCUUUUUUUUUUUACUGGGGUCAUUUUUGGGCCGAAGUAGCAGACAUGCUAAUUGCUAAUCGCUAGCAAGGCAACUGUUACACGCUAGGCUGGGCGAAGAUCCGAAGCCACUUUCUAGCAACGGCAAGACUACACGCUCUGAAAAACAAUCAUGCAGAAGCACCCACAAGUGUGACCCCUCUGCUAUCAUGUCAAAGCCAAAGGAGCAACGAAUUGCAGCCAGCCAGACUGCCGAGUCAUCAAUACUCCCACAGAGAAUUGUAAGGAAGCCUGUAUUCGAUCGAUAUGCUAAGGCAAGCUGUUUACAUUUUACAUUUCCCCACAUUUUUGGGAGCUCACGUUCUAAUUUUUUCAUUUCUUCAUUCAGAGUAUAGCAUACUAUUACAUGACUCAAUUUAGCAAAACAACAUCUUAUCAGUAUGAGCAUCACAAGCAGCUGGCUCUCACAGAGGCUGACUCUUUCUUGAGUUUCAGAUAGGAUGUCAGAUUUAUUCAGCACAUUGGCCCUGAGCUGUCUGAGGCAGGCUGAAUUGGUUUCUCUAAUGUAGCUCACUCCACUUAUUUAUGGCAAGUAUUUUUUUCUGAUAAGUUAAGUUAAUUACAUCAACAAAAUUGUGCACGAGCAUUAUUUUUUUCAUGUUGCUAGGUUAGUGCUAUUUAUUUGGCCUCGACAGCUUGAAAGACUGUCUCUGUUCAGGAAUUUGUGCUUAUGCUGCCACCUUGUGCUCAUGGAUUAAUGAUAAAGAAACUCACACUGAAAUACUUUUAUUAACGUUUAAUAGGUGGUGGUGGUGGUAACAUUAAUAUUUGCAAAAAUAAUUUUACUAUUAAUAACAUAGACUCUUUCUUGUGUAUGUCUGUACAGAGUCCAGUUCCAACAUAGUUGUCACCUCCAAAUAGCUUUAAAGUAACUGUAAAAAUCAAGUUUACAAAGAUAAAACACUGUAUUUUAUAAAGCAUAAAGUCCUGCUAUAAACCAACCAGGGCUGCCUGCGGUAUUUGAAUUUUUUCUAAACACAUUGCUUUUUAAUGUAGAGUGACUGAUUGUGUUACUGUUUCA